GUGCCAGCAGCCGCGGUAAUACAGAGAGUGCGAACGUUGUUCGGAAUUACUGGGCUUAAAGCGCACGUAGGCGGCGCCGCAAGUGCGGGGUGAAAUCCCACGGCUUACCCGUGGAACUGCCUUGCAGACUGUGGUGCUAGAGGAUGGUAGGGGAGAGCGGAACUCCUGGUGGAGCGGUGAAAUGCGUAGAUAUCAGGAGGAACACCGGUGGCGAAGGCGGCUCUCUGGUCCAUGACUGACGCUGAGGUGCGAAAGCUAGGGGAGCAAACGGGAUUAGAAACCCUCGUAGUCC
rnacentral:rRNA from 1 species